rnacentral:rRNA from 1 species
CAGUAGCCGCGGGAAUACGAAGGGGGCUAGCGUUGCUCGGAAUGACUGGGCGUAAAGGGCGCGUAGGCGGCGAUCAAAGUCAGGCGUGAAAUUCCUGGGCUCAACCUGGGGGCUGCGUUUGAUACUUGAUUGCUAGAGUGGGGAAGAGGGUCGUGGAAUUCCCAGUGUAGAGGUGAAAUUCGUAGAUAUUGGGAAGAACACCGGUGGCGAAGGCGGCGACCUGGUCCUUGACUGACGCUGAGGCGCGAAAGCGUGGGGAGCAAACAGGAUUAGAGACCCCCGUAGUCCCUGUCUCUUAUAC